rnacentral:rRNA from 1 species
AUUGAACGCUGGCGGAAUGCUUUACACAUGCAAGUCGAACGGUAGAGGGGGCGACCCUUCGAGAGUGGCGAACGGGUGAGUAAUAUAUCGGAACGUGCCCAGUCGUGGGGGAUAACGUAGCGAAAGUUACGCUAAUACCGCAUACGAUCUAAGGAUGAAAGCGGGGGAUCGCAAGACCUCGCGCGAUUGGAGCGGCCGAUAUCAGAUUAGGUAGUUGGGGGGGUAAAGGCUCACCAAGCCAACGAUCUGUAGCUGGUCUGAGAGGACGACCAGCAACACUGGAACUGAGACACGGUCCAGACUCCUACGGGAGGCAGCAGUGGGGAAUUUUGGACAAUGGACGCAAGUCUGAUCCAGCCAUUCCGCGUGCAGGAUGAAGGCCCUCGGGUUGUAAACUGCUUUUGUACGGAACGAAAAGGUCUCUCUUAAUACGGGGGGCUCAUGACGGUACCGUAAGAAUAAGCACCGGCUAACUACGUGCCAGCCGCCGCAGUAA